GGGGACGUGGCCAAGCCAGGGAUGGCGACUGACUCCAGAGAUAUCAGUCGAUCGGGGGUUCAAAUCCCUCCGUCCCCA
rnacentral:tRNA from 13 species